rnacentral:rRNA from 1 species
GACGAAGGAUGCAAGCGUUAUCCGGAUUCAUUGGGUUUAAAGGGAGCGUAGGCGGAUUUGUAAGUCAGUGGUGAAAUCUCCGGGCUCAACCCGGAAACUGCCAUUGAUACUGCAGGUCUAGAGUACAGUUGCCGUUGGCGGAAUAUGACAUGUAGUGGUGAAAUACUUAGAUAUGUCAUAGAACACCGAUUGCGAAGGCAGCUAACGAAGCUGUAACUGACGCUGAGGCUCGAAAGUGCGGGGAUCAAACAGG